rnacentral:rRNA from 1 species
GCAGCGUUGCCGAUCAGCCCCGUCCGGAAGGCCCCGGCUACCUGGGCGCGGCGCUGCCUCCGCCUCCGCCUCCGCCGCGGAGGCCGCUACCGCUGCCGUUGUCGGUUUAAGACACCCUAACCGUUCUCUUCCUCGUACCGCUUGGAUCACUACCUUUAGUACUGCAACGAUUCAAGCACACCCUAACGGAGUUGGCUCUACUACUACUACUACUCGAUGAACCUAAUGACCCUUUAGUUUGAGGAGACGCCCUGACGGCCCGGAAGAAACUAUAACCCCUAUAGUGAACGUUCCUCUGUGAUCUGGACCUCCUCAGAGCCCUUAGUUUCGCCGCUGCGCAAAACCUCAUGGGAAGACUCCAAUUAGUCGGUCUUCAUCGUCUCUGAAGUAACGAAACGUGACUACUUGGUGUCUGAAAUUUGACCUUAUACGUCUAGUUAAGUCUACUAAAUCUAUUCAAGUCAAGGAACAGAUUACCUCGUAGGAUGCUCGGUAGUCUAUUAGUUAACCUAUUAAUGAGACUUCCUCGAUGAUAGAUGAUGUGCGGACUAGUUUACGGAAGAUCGGUCCUCUCGUAAUGUAUGUAACCAACAGUUUGGCUACACGGUCCUUGUUCACUCUAACGAGGCCACUGUCUUUCAGAGUAUUACGUACUCUGAUCCUUUGAAAGAUGUGAGUUUCAUAGAUUUCCUCCUUCGAGCUACUAGUUCCGCUUCGUUUUACAUUGAUGUAGAUAUCGUAUGGGAAAAUGGGAAUAGUUUGGUAGAACCCUUCUUCCUCUACAGUGAGAGUUCCUAUAUUUAGUCGCGUAGGUACGAGGAGGUUUCUUCGGAGGUCUUUAGGACCUUUGAAGUCGAAAGAGACCCUUCGGCCAGUAACCGUUCUGUUCUUAGUCUUGUCUUCCACCCUUUCCGUCGUAGUGUUAUGAUUCUUGGUUCCCGACUCUUAAUAAUGUCGAAUAAAUUGUCGGUAAGGGAACUAACGAAAGUUCUUAAACCAGAAGAACACGUCCGGAGAUAUCGUAAAGCUAAAAAGAACCAGUGUUAAAAACACGGUACACAAGUCUCAAUGACACCUACCGGUUGAGAAACAAGUUUCUAAGUCGUAAGUAGACACCACAUAAAAUCACCGUACGCCGAUUACUAUAUAUAUACCUGUAAACUCAAUUCUUAAUCGAAGAUGAAAAUGAAGAGAAAGUACAAGAAGAAUACCAGAGGACUUUUAACGGGCUACCAAGUUGUAAGUUUAAUACCAUAGCCGAACUA